rnacentral:lncRNA from 1 species
UAUUAAUUCCUCACAACGUGAUUUGGGUAUCUUGCUCUCUGAUAACUUAUCAUGGUCCAAUCACUAUUCUUUUAUUGUCUCUGAAGCUCUUAAAAUCCUUGGUUUGCUUAGGAGAUCUUUUAGUACCUCUACUCCAGUGAGGGUUAAUAGCAUCACAAUGUGGCUCACGCAUAUUCCAUGCUGUCACGUUAUCUCUGUGUAAUGAUGAAUGAGUGAAAAAAAUCUACAUGUACUAAUGUCUAUGACUGCUAAUUUAUACACACAUAUGCUGCAAUUGAUAUUGAUUACUCAACCCUGACCCUGGCCUUUUACUUGUAUAAGAACUUGUGCCGUUUCAGUACAUUGUUUUACUUAUUGUUUUAAUAGUAAUAUAUAUGAAUAACAAUUCCUCUUAGUGAAACUUGUGGAAUCCAUUAUUUUAUAAUUUGGUGAAAUUUAUCACAUCUUGCUUGAAAUAAAUUUGCUGUUCAUUGACAUUAUUACUUAAUGGCACUUCCUUUGUGUCACAGUCACAUGCAAUUCACCACAACACUUCUCACUUUUCCUAAUACUCUUGUCUCCUCUCUGUCUCUCUCUCUCUCUCAUUACAGAUGCUGUCAUUAGCUCUUGUUGUUCACAGAGACUCGUGGCAGGAAUGACACACGAGUGAUAUGCAUUGUGUUGGAUUUGGUGACUGUUAUGUUGGAGUGUGGCGUGAAGAGACUUGGGGACAUUAAAUCACUGAGAGUUCUCAUGCAAGACGGACUCUGCCAUCACUUACUGUAAAUGAGCAACUUUACGAAUUGCUUCAGAACGAAUCUGCUGAUGUUUUUGGUCGCUCUUUGACAAAGUGCUUUCUUCUUUUUGAUUCAAAUUGUCAUCAUCUCAAACUACAGCUGGAGUGGUUCCUUAAUAAGCUAAUGCACACAAUACAAUUAGAUCAGUCAAGACUUCAAGCAGGCAGACAAGAGCUAACAUUAGAAUGUCUCAAUUCAAUUUUGUCACAUUCAUAAUUUUGUAUCAGAGUUAUAUGUUAAUUAUGAUUGCAGUACCUACUGUACUAACGUGUGCGAGAGACUGAGCAAACUACUUGCUAAGUACGGGGUAUUUUGCUAAAUAUUAUUACAGCAAGCAUUCCCCAGCUCUUAUCACACGAUAUCAUCAACCAACAUAAUUAGCAAUGGAAACACUACUGGCAAUGAUACUGGCAUUAGAAUCAACCAACACCACCACUACUGAUAGUGAUGAUACCAAUGAUGGUGAUACUAAUAGAAUGUGUACUAAGAUUAAUGGAGGGAAAGUUGCAGGUGACUGUAAUAAAGGAAUAAGCAGCAGCAACCAGAUAUCAGUCUGAAUGGAGCA